GGAGGAUGCAAGCGUUAUCCGGAUUCAUUGGGUUUAAAGGGUGCGCAGGCGGGGGCAAUAAGUCAGUGGUGAAAUCCUGCGGCUUAACCGUAGAACUGCCAUUGAUACUGUUGCCCUUGAGUAUAGUUGAGGUGGGCGGAAUAUGUAAUGUAGCGGUGAAAUGCAUAGAUAUUACAUAGAACACCAAUUGCGAAGGCAGCUCACUAAGCUAUCACUGACGCUGAGGCACGAAAGCGUGGGGAGCGAACAGGAUUAGAUACCCUGGUAGUCCACGCCGUAAACGAUGAUCACUCGUUGUUGGCAAUACAUCGUCAGCGACUGAGCGAAAGCAUUAAGUGAUCCACCUGGGGAGUACGAUCGCAAGAUUG
rnacentral:rRNA from 1 species